rnacentral:tmRNA from 1 species
GGGGUCGACUGGUUUUGACAGCAGGACGGACCGGACAGUAAGCACGCCGGGAAAUGAGGCUGUUCCCGUACAUCAUUGCCUUAAACAUUUAAACGGCGAAAAUAACUACGCUCUUGCUGCUUAAUCCGAAUAAAGUAAGAUAAAGCCACGUCCCUGCAAGGCAGGGAGGCGGGAUUCUCCUGAAAAGCCCUGGUUUAUGGCGUUUCGAUUAGGAGAACCGUAAAAAUAGACCUGGGGGCCGCUUCGCUUCGCGGAGGCUCUGAGAAAACAGAAGCUAAGUGGUGUGUGGCAGUUUCCGGCCUUGCACACUAACGAAAAUCCAAGCGGAAACUAAGCGUGUAGAAAGCUCUUCUAUCCCCUGUUUGGACCCGGGUUCGAUUCCCGGCGAUUCCACGA